GACGAACGCUGGCGGCGUGCUUAACACAUGCAAGUCGAACGGUGACGAGGAGCUUGCUCCUCUGAUCAGUGGCGAACGGGUGAGUAACACGUGAGCAACCUGCCCCAGACUCUGGGAUAACAGUUGGAAACAGCUGCUAAUACCGGAUACGAGACGGAGAGGCAUCUCUACCGUCUGGAAAGUUUUUCGGUCUGGGAUGGACUCGCGGCCUAUCAGCUAGUUGGUGAGGUAAUGGCUCACCAAGGCGACGACGGGUAGCCGGCCUGAGAGGGCGACCGGCCACACUGGGACUGAGACACGGCCCAGACUCCUACGGGAGGCAGCAGUGGGGAAUAUUGCACAAUGGGCGAAAGCCUGAUGCAGCGACGCCGCGUGAGGGAUGACGGCCUCGGUUGUAACGUACUUCUAGUACACGGAGAAGACGGAAAGUAGGACGGUAACCGUCGCGAGAAGAAGACGACCGGCCGUAACGUAACCGUACGUCCGAACGCGACGCCGCCGGUAACGU
rnacentral:rRNA from 1 species